GACGAACGCUGGCGGCGUGCUUAACACAUGCAAGUCGAACGAUGAAGCCGGAGCUUGCUCUGGUGAAUUAGUGGCGAACGGGUGAGUAACACGUGAGUAACCUGCCCUUGACUCUGGGAUAACUGCGGGAAACUGUAGCUAAUACCGGAUACGACCCUCGGAGGCAUCCUUGGAGGUGGAAAGUUUUUCGGUGAGGGAUGGGCCCGCGGCCUAUCAGCUUGUUGGUGAGGUAGUGGCUCACCAAGGCGACGACGGGUAGCCGGCCUGAGAGGGCGACCGGCCACACUGGGACUGAGACACGGCCCAGACUCCUACGGGAGGCAGCAGUGGGGAAUAUUGCGCAAUGGGCGAAAGCCUAACGCAGCAACGCCGCGUGCGGGAUGACGGCCUUCGGGUUGUAAACCGCUUUCAGCAGGGAAGAAGCCGCAAGGUGACGGUACCUGCAGAAGAAGCACCGGCUAACUACGUGCCAGCAGCCGCAGUAA
rnacentral:rRNA from 1 species